GCCCCUACGGGGGGCAGCAGCCGCGGUAAUACGUAGGUGGCAAGCGUUAUCCGGAUUUACUGGGUGUAAAGGGCGUGUAGGCGGGACUGCAAGUCAGGUGUGAAAACCACGGGCUCAACCUGUGGCCUGCAUUUGAAACUGUAGUUCUUGAGUACUGGAGAGGCAGACGGAAUUCCUAGUGUAGCGGUGAAAUGCGUAGAUAUUAGGAGGAACACCAGUGGCGAAGGCGGUCUGCUGGACAGCAACUGACGCUGGGGCGCGAAGGCGUGGGGAGCAAACAGGAUUAGAUACCCCAGUAGUCCAAC
rnacentral:rRNA from 1 species